UACGUAGGUGGCAAGCGUUGUCCGGAUUUACUGGGCGUAAAGAGCGCGCAGGCGGUCGUUCAAGUCGCGUGUGAAAGCCCCCGGCUCAACUGGGGAGGGUCACGCGAUACUGAUCGACUCGAAGGCAGGAGAGGGUAGUGGAAUUCCCGGUGUAGUGGUGAAAUUCGUAGAUAUUCGGAAGAACACCAGUGGCGAAGGCGGCUCACUGGACCGGCAUUGACGCUGAGGUGCGAAAGCGUGGGGAGCAAACAGG
rnacentral:rRNA from 1 species